UACGGAGGUGGCUAGCGUUACUCGGAAUUAUUGGGUGUAAAGGGCAAGUAGGCGGUCUAAUAAGUGGGGGGUGAAAUACUCCGGCUCAAUCGGAGAACAGCCUUCCAAACUGUUAGACUUGAGUAUGACAGAGGAAAAUGGAAUUCUAGGUGUAAGGGUGAAAUCUGUAGAUAUCUAGAAGAACACCAGCUGCGAAGGCGAUUUUCUGGGUCAUUACUGACGCUAAAUUGCGAAAGCUAGGGGAGCAAACAGA
rnacentral:rRNA from 1 species